CUAAUGCGAAAAUUGCCAUAGCCGCGUGGUCCUUGACCAGACUCGCGUGGCUGGGUGCGUGCCAGCGCUCGAAUUCGGCAGCUGCUGGGGCAGAGGACCUAGUGGCGGGAAGGACAGUCGUCUCGACAUCCGGCGGGCGUUGUCGCUGGCCAGGCUAACGACAGUGGUCUGAGGAACUUCCGACGGCGUGACGCCUACAGCUGCGUGUGUGGUUUGACGCCCCGUUAACCUUGUCCUUAGUCGCCGACAGCGAGCUGCGCCAAGACGCUGCGAUGGCAACAGCCGGCGACGCCGAGAAGGCUGGCUCGUCCAACCCCACCGGCGACGAGGGUCCGUCCAAGGACGUUGAAGGCGGCGGCGACUUGGAGCCUGCCCACAGCGGCACUGCCAUCCUGGUCGUGGGCACGUUGCUCGUGCUGACCAUCGCCGCCGUCGUAGCGGGACUGUUUUUGGUGUCCGGUAGACAAGGAGACGGCAGCGACAGCGCCGGCAGCACUGCCGCUGCUCCCACCGUCGAAGUCGAGGGUUCGCAUAGGAUCGAAACAAACGAAACAGUUUCCGCCGAGCCGUCGUCGACACCCGCCGUCGAAGUGAACGGGUAACGCCACGCUGACAGAGAAUCGACGAAAAACCUGACGACGCGUCGGAGAUCGAAGACGGCGUCACCGGUUCCACAGACAGUGACGACGUGGGCACUAAGUGACUAACCGACCAACGUGCUGGCCGCAGGUCGGACCAUAUAGAGAGGAUCGCAGUCGAGUCGUAUUCGCCGCAAUAAAAAAAAUAGCGCCUCAGUGAGUUGUA